rnacentral:sRNA from 9 species
AUCCGCAAGGAGUGUGAGUGCUUAAUAACAAAAAUAAUGAAAAUUCCUCUUUGACUGGCCGGUAGUGAUAUCGGCCAUUUUUUU